CACAUCUGAUAUCCCAGAAGUCAUUGCAAUAUGUCAGGAGAGCAGGAAAAACUCCACAACUGUAAUACGUUUUAACUUUUCUUAUUUCAGGUAAACUUUGUGAACUAGUAUCCGAGAUAAGGUUGUCCUAACACUACCAGCGUAUCAAGGCACUCAACUCCAUUCACCACAGAAGGUAAUGCCUUGUCUGCAGUCACACAGAAAAACCAGUCCAACAAGGCGGCCCUGAACCAGGACACCUCUUCAAACAGUACACAGUGGUGGACAGCGAAAGAGAUUUGAAGUGAUAGCCCUUUUUAGAGGACAGAAAGACCCCAAUUGUCUCCGCAGCCCUCUUCUCCCUCCCUGUGACAGCCUUGCGUGCCUCUGGAAAGAGAAAGGAAAGAAAGGAGAUUUAGAAAAAGAGCGAGAGAACGCAGUUUGGCCCUGCAGCUGCUCCUCUGGAUGAUUUUUGGAUUACAUCAGCAGCAGCCGAGAAGAAAGGCGAGAAGGAGGGAUCGAAAAAGGGGGCACAAGGAGAAGGGUGUGAGGCACACUCCACAAAUCAGGGCGCCUUUCAGAAGGGAGCAGGGAAUUGCUCCGGAGUUGCUCUUGACAGAGCUAUCGUUGUUAGCCGACUGAAGUGGCUGAAUAGUGCAGUAGACUGUGGUCGCCCGCGCCCCCCCCGGGCGUACCCCCCAUUCCACCGCCUCAGAGUCGCCUCCAUAGGUUGGGCUUGUGAGCGGCGUACAAUCACGUUACUUAGCAAGGCCAGUUCUAUAUCUUUAGAAUGAAGAGAUUCACAUUUACGGUAGACAACAUUUGAACAAAGUUAUUGGAAGUACUGACAGAAAUCCUUCUGAAUCCCAAGCGGUUAGUUGCAACGUUGUCAUCGCCAGCAUGUUCUCCGGUGCUCUGAUGGUGGUGCUGGUGGUUCUCAUUCUCUUCAGGAGAAUCAUAUGGCACACUGUCUGCCUGGUUAUCGGGGACAAGAUGCUCAACAGGCCCAUGAAGGCCAAAGCAGCUGUAGCGGCUCUUCGUCGUGUUAAGAAAAACAGGCAGUUGAGCGAUGAUGAUGAUGAUGGUGAUGAUGAUAAUGACGAUGAUGAUGUGUUCACAUGACCACCAUGUCUUCACCAAGGGCAUUUACAUUGACAAAAAAUGUGUGUGUGGAUAUUCCAUGCAUUAACUUAUCACAAU
ensembl:lncRNA